GGCUCGACUUAGCCGGAAGUCCCACCUCUUUCUGGACGCCCGCGAUUUGGCGCCGCCAGGAAGGGGCCCAAUGAGGGAUGUUGUGGCGGCGGAGGAGUCUCGGAAGACACUCGGAGGGAUGCGUGAUUUGAGAAUCUCCAUUUGGUCUUUGAGCCUGUCUGUUCUGUGACCCCUGGGAUAGCUUGGCUUGCAGUGUACUUGGAGGCCACCAUUGCAUCAAGACAGAGAGAGACAGAGCAUGAACGGGGGAGGGGCAGAGAGAGAGGAAGACACAGAAUCGGAAGCAGGCUCCAGGCUCUGAGCCAUUAGCCCAGAGCCCGACGCGGGGCUCGAACUCACGGAUCGUGACCUGAGCUGAAGUCGGACGCUUAACCGACUGAGCCACCCAGGUGCCCCAGGGCAUUACUUUUCAAUAGCCCAAUCUCAUUUAGAAAUUUUCAUGGAUGUUUCUCUUGGUUUAAAAAGAAAACUGGAACCGCUUGAAGGAAUUUAGGUCCAUCUUGGAGGCUCCUGAAGGACUAUGAUAUCCUAGUGCAUUGUUAUGCACUCCAAAUACAACUUCCUCCCUAGAAUUAAUUGAUAAAUUGGAGACAGUGGUAGGACAUGAUUAGAAGACUGCAUUGCAAGCUUCUGGAAGGCUGGGACUAUGCCUGCCUCAUUUUCCAUCCCUAUCUCAGCAUAGUGCUGCUCAGUAAACAUAGUGGUGCUCAGUAAACACAUGCUGAAUAAAUGCCAAGUGAAGCCUUGUCCAUGCGGUUAUAUAUGGAACACUCAGAAGGCAUUGCUGAUUUGGGAAAUCAGUAAACUCUCCAUGACAGGGCUAAAACUAAAGAGAUCCUGAGGACUGCUUGAAGCUGUCUUCAAAGGGUGGGAGCUGAUCAAAAGCUUGCAAAUCAUUUGCAUCCUUAGUAUAAACAAUCGGUACAAGUGUGAUAGAAUGCUAUAGUGAAGGUGGCAGUUUUGGAAAGGUGGGUGGUGAUUUACUGUGAAAACAUUAAAAGGAGAGGACAGGGACAAUAAGGAACUUGAGAACCAAAAAUGGGUCAGGAAUUGGGUAUGCACUCAUGAGGUUGUAUGAGUCAGAGAACUAAAUUCAAACCCAAAAUUCUAGUGGCUUAAUAUACUAAGAAUAUUUGCUGCUAGGGAGUGCAAAUUCAUACGCACUGUUUUGAGGGUAAUUUGGUAAUGUGCUAACAACCAACUAUGUGCCAGGACUUAAAAGAAUUAAUUCCUUUGCUUCUCUCAAUAGUCCUGAGUUAGGUCCUAAUUUUAACUUCAUCAUACAGAUGGGGACUGUUGAGAUGAAGUAACUCAUCCAAGAACAUACAGCCGUGAGCAGCAGUGCAGUCUUUAAAUGCAGGUAGUUUAGCUUUGGAGGCCAGGCUUGCAACCCCUACAUUGAUCUCUGUGUGUAGUAAGAGGUAAGAACUUUCUGAUGAGAUUGGACCUAUUCAGGGUAGUACGGCUGUAGACAAAGAGCCCUCUGAAUUAUAUUUGUCAUUUUAUGAAUUUAUUCCAAGGGUACAUAAUCAAAUAUAUUUCUAAAAAUAUUUUUAUUACAAUCUGGAUUGUGUGGUAAAAAAUUAUAAGCCUCCAAAGUGAGGCAGCAAAUUAUAGGUGUUAAGACUCCAAGAGUCCUGGAGUCAGUUCUGGGCCAGAUCCUGUCUCUUUCACUUCAUCAUGGGUUGUUAACACUGGCCCACUCCAAACUUCUGCAAAAUUAGAAUGGGAACGGGCCUACCUCACAGGAAUUUAAAAUAAGGAAAUGCUGCUUUCUGAAUGGCUCAAGAUGUGACUUUCUCUACAAAAACUAAAAUUCUUUGAAACCCCUCAAAUUUAUAAUGUAAUUAUAAUAAAUUACACACACACACACAUAUGUAUGUAAUAAAGCAGUGACAGAACUGAUCACUUUUCAGUGAAUUAAAAUUUGGGAAACUUGAAAGAAAUUGUAAAGAGUGAAAAUUCUAAGAAUCUAGAGCAGCUCUGAUGAGAUGAUGGAUGUCCAAACUGUCUCUUUCUAACAUCUAUCUGCAUUUUACAUAGAUCAACAAUCUGUGACUGUGGCGAUGAGGUUGCAUCUGCAGAGACAAGGCCUACUGUUGUUCCACUUUACUUCAAAGAUGCAAGGCUGCUAUGCAUGCUGCUUUUUUGGUUUUUGGUUCUAGAAAUUAUUCUGCUUCUACACCAUUUUAAUGUUGGUGUAGUUUCUAAGUUCCACUACCAGGAGUGUAAAAAGAAAUACACAGCAUUGAGGCAGCAAUAUUUUAGGUGGAAGAGUGGUUUUUGAUCCCACCUCUCUUACGUUAGUCCACCAAGUGAAACAUUUAGUUUUCUGUGUAUUGAUGGAACAAAAUGGAGGACAGUGCUUUAAAACUUUUAUCUUUAAUGUAACUGAUUUUUACUAUUGUAUUGCCUUUCUCUUCAGUUUAGAAAGAUAAAAAGAAAAAAAAUUACAGAGGAAACUAUAUUUCUAUUUCAAUAUUUUGAACAAAGAAAUCUAUUGAGGCUUUGACAUGUUUUAGAAACCACCCACAUGGGGGCUCCUGGGUGGCUUGGUUGGUUAAGCGUCUGACUUAGGUCCAGGUCAUGGUCUCGAGCUCCAUGGGUUUAAGCCCUAUGUCAGGCUCUGUGCCGACAGCUCAGAGCCUGGAGCCUGCUUCAGAUUCUGUGUCUUCCUCUCUCUUUGCCCCUCCCCUGCUUGUGCUCUGUCUGUCUGCCUCUCUCUCUUUCUCUCUCUCUCUCUCUCCCUCUCUCUCUCUGUCUCAAAAAUAAAUAUUAAAAAAAAUUUUUUUUUAAAGAAACCACUGACAUGAAUAAAAAAAAAGUUUGCUGCUUCUUAAGAUGCAUUGAAAGAAACUUCAAAAUACAAGGAAAUAUAUGACAGUUAUCUUAUGAUUCCUAAAAUUUGGGGGACUCAUUUAAGGUGAGGGUGCCAGAGAAAAUUUUGCCAAACAGAAACAUGAGCCUAGAUCGGCUGGUCCUGAUGACCUAUUAUACUGGCAACAGUAUAGGAACUGCAUUCUGGAAACUGCUGCUCCCAUUUUGAGUUUUUGGACAACUUUUAAGUGAGGGUUCUUCCUCCAUAAUCUUCUUUCUGAGUUAGAUUGAAACUCUUUUUGAUUCCACUCCAGAUUUUACUUUUGGUCCAGGGUCACUGGUUGCUGGCUGAAGACAGCAGGUGGCAGAUGCUUUAAAGACACAUUGCACAAAGGAGAGUACAGGGUGUGUACAGGGGAAGAGAGACAGACAAAUGCUCAAUAUACAAUUGUGGAUGUUUGCACAUCUCAGUUUUGUUAUUGAGGGAGUACUGCUUUUUAGAAAAAAAGUACCCCUAUUAGGAUCCAGUCAGGUAAAUAGUACCCACACGAGGUAGUACAAUAGAUGGAAUUUAAUAUAGGAAUUUGCUACAAAGGUCCUGAAAUCUGGGGCCGCCACUAGUUCCUGUCCAUAGUGUCUUUUUUUUUUUCUUUAAUGUUUAUUUAUUUUUGAGAGAGAGAGAGAGAGAGAGUGCGCGCACGAGCUGGGGAGGGGCAGAGAGAGAGGGAAACACAGAAUCUGAAGCAGGCUCCAGGCCCUGCACAGAGCCCCAUGCGGGCCGAACCCACUAUCCAUGAGAUCAUGAACUGACCCAAAGUCGGAUGCUUAACCAACUGAGCCACCCAGGUGCCCCUGUCCAUAGUGUCUUUAUCAUCAAGCUGUUUCUUUCAUUUAGGGAAUAAUGAAGUAAACAGGUCUUUGACAGUUGCUUCUUUCUUAAGAAUAUUAUUUCCCACCUACAUUAUUUAAGAUGUGUGUGAUACAGUAAAACUCUUAUUUACUUUUCCUAUUAGGCAAGGCAUACUAAGAAAAAAAACAAAAAAAGAGAACAACCUUAAGUAAUAAAAUUAGCAUUGCACAUUUUAGAAAUAAAGAACACAAAGAGAAAACUUUAAAAUAUGAUUUAUUCUACCAGCCAGAAAUAAUUCUUUCGAUUUUUAGUUGAAAAGCUUACAGAAAAACCUGUAUGGGUUCAUAGUCUUGUCAAUAGUUUUGUUUUAUUACCAUUGAACAUAUUUUGUUUUCUUCAUAGUUCAUUAAAUAUUCUUAAGAAACUGUCCCUUUGGUGGUUUUAAUGUUUCUCAAGACUAAAUUUCUUUCCCAUUUAUGUACUAUUGGACAUUGAGUCUGUACCAACUCUGCUAUUUCAAAUAAAUGUUAAGUCUUGUAAAUAAGCUUUUCCUGCCUCUUUGUUUCCAAACUCAAGCAAAGUCUUCUUA